UAACUUAAAAUGUAAAUAUUUACCUUACGAUAGUAAUAAUAUAAUGCUAAUUAUAAGUACCCAGUAAUUAUUUUAGUAAAAGGAUGUUUCGUAGCUGUAAGUUAGGGUAGAAAUUAUGAAUAAGAAAAUUAUCGAAAUUAUUUUUAAGCAAUAAUAAUAAUAAAGAUUCAAUAUGUAUAUGCCACAAACAAUUGAAACAU
rnacentral:lncRNA from 1 species